UGAGUGUAGAAGUUGAUUUUGCACUUAGUGUUUUGGGGGUGGGGGUGCGACUGUACACAGUCAGUAAGCAUUAUUGACUGUUUAACUUAAACAGAUGCUUUAUGGCCCCUGCUUAAGCCCAUGACUGUGCAGAAAGAUCGUGGUUGCUACCAAUGGGUGCUGAUUCAGCAUCACAAGUGACUGAAAUUGGCCGUGGAUCUGUUCUUUGAGAGAAUUCCUGAUUUCUCCAUGGAACAUGUACAUAACAAUUGUGAUCAUAUUAACUGUACUUCAGUUUUGUGUUUUUAUUCAAAUGUUAUCUCCUUUUUUUCUCUCUGAGAAAUAUACUGUCACUGAUGUGACAGGGUCUAUACUUUAAUAACGUGUAUAUGUCUAACGCAGGUUGUGCUAUUUACAUGUUUCUACACAUUUCGUCCUUUAAAAGAUUGUUCAGAGAGGUUGUAUUUACCUUCCCAAGGCUGGAAAGCAGGGGAAUUACCUAGUUUCCUAGUUUUCCACCAGAGGAAUAUGUGUAAGUAGAAAAGUGUUAGCUGCUUACAUAUAAUGUGUAUGUAUGGAUGGAUACAUGUAAAUUGUGUGUUAAAGAGCUGAUACUGAUUUUCAUAUGACAAUGUUAGGCAAAGGCCUCCCUGCACUUGAAGAGCAGGUUUUCAUUUGUAUGUAUUUUUGGGAUAAAAAGUAAUAAAAUUUGUAAAUAUAUUUUAAAAACCACACACACUAUGAAAUGUACCUCAAGGCCUCUACUGAGGCAGACAGCCAUUGACUGUGACAAGGCUAUGCAGCUGAGGUACAUGAAUUUCAUGUGUAUGCAACAUGAGAGAUAUUUCCAGGAAGUUAAGCUUCACACUAGGAAAUGUCUGUGUAGGUAUAUUCAUUUGUUUAAAUUCUUAAGAAGUGAUCAGAGACUAUGAUAGGGAGGGGAAACUGUUCUUCCAAAGAGAAGUUCGCUCUCAUUUUCUAAUGAAUUCUUCCUCCUUCCUCCGCUUCCCUGCAGUGGAAAUGUGGAGGGAGACCAAAGCUGCGAUUCCAGUCCACACCAGAGCCCAGAAAGAUUCCCAGGGCCCUGGAGAUGCCUCCUGAGCACCAGGAGCCUGUGGAAUGCAGGAAGGAUGGUCCUACAGGGACCACAAGGAACAGCAAUUGUCUGUAGUAAAAUACGAAUGACAAAGGCAGGAAGGCAAAAGAAGGCUCCCAGGUCGGCACAGGUACAGGCCAGACAUCAGGCCCCAGGGGUCUGGAGCGGGCAGGAGGUGAAUGACAGGACAUGGUGUGAAGCAAUCAAUUUAUAUGGAGCACAUGAGUGAGAUCAGAAGAGGCUGCUGAACGCUGGACUUGAGCCAAGCAUGAGGUGCCCAGAUCCGCUCUUGACUCACAGAAGCUAGACCUCAGAUCAUCCCAAGCCACUCCUGGCUUAUGGUGGGAGCGCACAUGUUCCAAAACCCAGGACAGUGAGGACUGUAUUUGGGGCAGAGUAAGAAGAAAUGGAUCAGAGCAACAUACAAAAGAUCUAAGGACAAUAAGUAAAGGCUUAAUUCUUGUUUU